rnacentral:pre_miRNA from 1 species
CAAGGUAGACGCAGAACUUUGCUGCAAAAAAAAAAGAUUUUUUGCAGCAAAGUUCUGCGUCUACCUUG